AGUGUCUUCCCUCCUCAAAUAGUCUGAAUCGUUUUGUUGUUAAUAAUCACGUCUAGGCAGACAUGGUUUAAUGAAUGAUCGAUCGCACCAGGUCGGGAGGAUGAUUUCGUCAGUCUUGAGGGAGACAUUAGUUUAGUCUCGAGCGAAGCGUUUCCCUUCAUCGGUCUCGAGCAAGAUGUCGGCCUUAUCAGUUUCGUUGUCUCGAGCGAGACGUUGGCUUCAUCAGUCUCCCGGUUUCUUCAAUUAUCUCCCCAGACAAGACGUUGGUUUCAUUGGUCUCGAGCGAGACCGAUCGACAUGAAACAGCUAUAUUCCUUCCUUGAGUUUUGUUGAUAAACGUUAACCUUCUACGGAAAUGUGUUCGUACUGAAGGCUUGAUAUAAAAUUUCUCCUUCUCGUCCAACCAAUCACGUGGUGGAAUAGGCUAUUUCUUUAUUUUAUAAUCAAAUGAGAGACACGUGUUACCUUCGGUGUUGUUUCUCUCGUUGAACCAAAGAAGUCUCUAGGGGCUUCUGUUUCUUCUUUGGGAAGUGGAGAAGUCUUCAUAGUGAAAGAUGUCUACGGUUUUGGCUCAUUGAGGUCCACGAAUUCUCGUUUGUCACCUUUUCAUCAAACGGUGGUGAGGAUAUUCCUUGUUUCCUUGUCGGUGUUUUGCUCCAAGAGAGAUAUGGUGUAAUCGUCAUAAAAAGAGGAAGUCAAAACCAAUUCACAGGGCAUAUAGGACUAUCAUUUUUUUUGGUGGAAGAAGAUCCUCAUUAUCAUGAGAUCAUAAUAAUUUAUUUCUGUUUGUUUACGAUUUUCUCCAUCCUUCAAUGGGAAGUCUCGUUGAGCUGAUUUGCUGGA
rnacentral:lncRNA from 1 species